rnacentral:rRNA from 1 species
AGCAGCCGCGGUAAUUCCAGCUCCAAUAGCGUAUAUUAAAGUUGCUGCAGUUAAAAAGCUCGUAGUUGAAUUUCGGGACCAAUAUGUCGGUCGUGCCUCGGUACGUACUGGCAUCGUUGGUUUCUCCCUUCUGACGAACCAUGAUGUCAUUUAUUUGGUGUCGUGGGGAAUCAGGACUGUUACUUUGAAAAAUUAGAGUGUUUAAAGCAGGCUCACGCUUGAAUACAUUAGCAUGGAAUAAUGAAAUAGGACGUUUGAUUCUAUUUUGUUGGUUUCUAGGAUCGACGUAAUGAUUAAUAGGGAUAGUUGGGGGCAUUAGUAUUCAAUUGUCAGAGGUGAAAUUCUUGGAUUUAUUGAAGACUAACUACUGCGAAAGCAUUUGCCAAGGAUGUUUUCAUUAAUCAAGAACGAAAGUUAGGGGAUCGAAGACGAUCAGAUACCGUCGUAGUCUUAACCAUAAACUAUGCCGACUAGGGAUCGGAUGGUGUUAAGUUUUUUAAUGUACUCA